rnacentral:rRNA from 1 species
GACGAACGCUGGCGGCGUGCUUAACACAUGCAAGUCGAACGGAAAGGCCCUGCUUUUGUGGGGUGCUCGAGUGGCGAACGGGUGAGUAACACGUGAGUAACCUGCCCUUGACUUUGGGAUAACUUCAGGAAACUGGGGCUAAUACCGGAUAGGAGCUCCUGCUGCAUGGUGGGGGUUGGAAAGUUUCGGCGGUUGGGGAUGGACUCGCGGCUUAUCAGCUUGUUGGUGGGGUAGUGGCUUACCAAGGCUUUGACGGGUAGCCGGCCUGAGAGGGUGACCGGCCCCAUUGGGACUGAGAUACGGCCCAGACUCCUACGGGAGGCAGCAGUGGGGAACAUUGCACAAUGGGCGGAAGCCUGAUGCAGCAACGCCGCGUGCGGGAUGACGGCCGUCGGGUUGUAAACCGCUUUCGCCUGUGACGAAGCGUGAGUGACGGUAAUGGGUAAAGAAGCACCGGCUAACUACGUG